ACGGAAGGUCCGGGCGUUAUCCGGAUUUAUUGGGUUUAAAGGGAGCGUAGGCUGUCUAUUAAGCGUGUUGUGAAAUAUACCGGCUCAACCGGUGGCUUGCAGCGCGAACUGGUCGACUUGAGUAUGCAGGAAGUAGGCGGAAUUCAUGGUGUAGCGGUGAAAUGCUUAGAUAUCAUGACGAACUCCGAUUGCGCAGGCAGCUUACUGUAGCAUAACUGACGCUGAUGCUCGAAAGUGCGGGUAUCAAACAG
rnacentral:rRNA from 1 species